AAUGAACGCUGGCGGCAUGCCUAACACAUGCAAGUCGAACGAGACCUUCGGGUCUAGUGGCGCACGGGUGCGUAACGCGUGGGAAUCUACCCUUGGGUUCGGAAUAACAGUGGGAAACUACUGCUAAUACCGGAUAAUGACGUAAGUCCAAAGAUUUAUCGCCCAAGGAUGAGCCCGCGUAGGAUUAGCUAGUUGGUGAGGUAAAAGCUCACCAAGGCGACGAUCCUUAGCUGGUCNGAGAGGAUGAUCAGCCACACUGGGACUGAGACACGGCCCAGACUCCUACGGGAGGCAGCAGUGGGGAAUAUUGGACAAUGGGCGAAGCCUGAUCCAGCAAUGCCGCGUGAGUGAUGAAGGCCUUAGGGUUGUAAAGCUCUUUUACCCGGGAUGAUAAUGACAGUACCGGGAGAAUAAGCUCCGCUAACUCCGUG
rnacentral:rRNA from 1 species